UUGGUGAACCAGCGGAGGGAUCAUUACCGAGUUUACAACUCCCAAACCCAAUGUGAACCAUACCAAACUGUUGCCUCGGCGGGGUCACGCCCCGGGUGCGUCGCAGCCCCGGAACCAGGCGCCCGCCGGAGGGACCAACCAAACUCUUUACUGUAGUCCCCUCGCGGACGUUAUUUCUUACAGCUCUGAGCAAAAAAUUCAAAAUGAAUCAAAACUUUCAACAACGGAUCUCUUGGUUCUGGCAUCGAUGAAGAACGCAGCGAAAUGCGAUAAGUAAUGUGAAUUGCAGAAUUCAGUGAAUCAUCGAAUCUUUGAACGCACAUUGCGCCCGCCAGUAUUCUGGCGGGCAUGCCUGUCCGAGCGUCAUUUCAACCCUCGAACCCCUCCGGGGGGUCGGCGUUGGGGAUCGGGAACCCCUCAGACGGGAUCCCGGCCCCGAAAUACAGUGGCGGUCUCGCCGCAGCCUCUCCUGCGCAGUAGUUUGCACAACUCGCACCGGGAGCGCGGCGCGUCCACGUCCGUAAAACACCCAACUUUCUGAAAUGUUGACCUCGGAUCAGGUAGGAAUACCCGCUGAACUUAAGCAUAUCAAUA
rnacentral:rRNA from 1 species